GUAGGGUUGUACAUUUCAACCAUGAACCUGACUUGGUCAGAUAAAAUUAAUCGACCCGAAGUAAAAUGGUUCGGAUGCGGAAGCUUUUUUGGCCAUUUUCGCAUUCUUUCGGUUCGAAUCGGUUAAUUACCCUAACCGCAAAACUGAAGACACAUUUAACCGAUUAUAAACGGCGCCGUUUUACCCAUUCACAACGUUGUCUCGUUUGCUUGUAGACGGCUGGACGCAAAUUGAUUCUUCCCUCUCAGGCUCUCAGCUCAGUCCCCGACUCUCCCACUCCCAGAGUCCCAGCUCUCAGUCUCCGCCUCUCACAGUCGCAUCUUACUUCUCAACUCUCAGUCCCCGACUCUCUCAGCCUCCGUCGCUCUCUCUCACUAUCUCUCUCUCUCUGACCGAAGCUUCUGGGGUGCGUAAGGCACAGUGAAGUUGGCUGUGUAGGGCUGAGGGGAGAGAAGCUUCUUGUUCACCCCUUUUACAGGACAAUUCGGCAGAAUUCAUUCGAGGGGUGAGAAAUCCUUCUGCAGCUGCGAAUGCCGCCAACAACAGAUGCUUCUGGAGGAGGGAAUGGAUAAAUGGGAACCUAAUGAUGAUUAUGGGACCUGUUCCUGGGUAGCCAUCUGAAUAUCCAUUCUUGUUUGUUCCAACUUUCAAAUAAUCAUAAAAGAAAAUGCCCCAACUUUCAUAAGAGUAGUCUUUGUAUGAUCAGUUCUCCAUAACAAAGACAAGGACAGUUCUUAAGUUGCCUGGAAAUUGAAACUGUUUUGGUGUAUGGAGCCGGUGCACCUAUCAGUCCUCUUAUUUUUUGGCUCACUGGGAACACCUUUUUUCUAAAUAGAUAUUUAAACGAUUAAUUAUUCUUGAAGAUUAAGAAAUAUUUAUAAUUGUUGACUUUUUAUUUUUU